rnacentral:tRNA from 2 species
UCUUAGAUGACUGAGCAUUAAGUGUUAGAUUUUUAAUCUAAAAACGGCAAAAUAAAAUAUGCCUCUGAGAA